rnacentral:rRNA from 1 species
UUGAACGGGCAUACAUGGAAGCUUGCUGAAGUGUAUGUUAGUAGCGGACGGGUGAGUAAUGCAUGAGAAGCUGCCAUUGGGAGGGGGACAACAGUUGGAAACGGCUGCUAAUACCCCGUAUGCCGAAAGGUAAAAGGGAGCAAUCCGCCUGAUGAGGUGCUCAUGUCCUAUCAGCUGGUUGGUGGGGUAACGGCCUACCAAGGCGACGACGGGUAGCCGGCCUGAGAGGGUGAACGGCCACACUGGAACUGAGAUACGGUCCAGACUCCUACGGGAGGCAGCAGUGGGGAAUAUUGGGCAAUGGGGGAAACCCUGACCCAGCGACGCCGCGUGAGGGAAGACGGCCUUCGGGUUGUAAACCUCUUUUGUACGGGAAGAAGGAAGUGACGGUACUGUACGAAUAAGUCCCGGCUAACUACGUGCCAGCAGCCGCGGUAAUACGUAGGGGACGAGCGUUGUCCGGAAUUACUGGGCGUAAAGGGCGCGCAGGCUGUGCUGCAAGUCAGCUGUGAAAUGUCUGGGCUUAACCCGGGCAUGCGGUUGAGACUGCAGUGCUGGAGUGCUGUAGAGGCAAGUGGAAUUCCCAGUGUAGCGGUGAAAUGCGUAGAUAUUGGGAAGAACACCGGUGGCGAAGGCGACUUGCUGGGCAGCAACUGACGCUGAGGCGCGAAAGCCAGGGGAGCAAACGGGAUUAGAUACCCCGGUAGUCCUGGCCGUAAACGAUGAAUGCUAGGUGUGGGUGUAGAGAUACAUUCGUGCCGGAGUUAACGCGAUAAGCAUUCCGCCUGGGGAGUACGGUCGCAAGAUUGAAACUCAAAGGAAUUGACGGGGGCCCGCACAAGCGGUGGAGCACGUGGUUUAAUUCGAUGCAAACCGAAGAACCUUACCUGGGUUUGACAUGUACGUGGUACGGAUCUGA